rnacentral:rRNA from 1 species
CAGCAGCCGCGGGAAUACGAAGGGUGCAAGCGUUAAUCGGAAUUACUGGGCGUAAAGCGUGCGUAGGCGGUUUGUUAAGUCUGCUGUGAAAUCCCCGGGCUCAACCUGGGAAUGGCAGUGGAUACUGGCAAGCUAGAGUGUGUCAGAGGAUGGUGGAAUUCCCGGUGUAGCGGUGAAAUGCGUAGAGAUCUGGAGGAAUACCGAUGGCGAAGGCAGCCAUCUGGCCUAAUACUGACGCUGAGGUACGAAAGCAUGGGGAGCAAACAGGAUUAGAUACCCCAGUAGUCCCUGUCUCUUAUAU